GGGUUUGAUCCUGGCUCAGGAUGAACGCUGGCGGUAUGUUUAACACAUGCAAGUCGAACGGUCUCUUCGGAGAUAGUGGCGGACGGGUGAGUAACGCGUGAGAACGUGCCUUUAGAUCGGGGACAACAGUUGGAAACGACUGCUAAUACCGGAUGUGCCUUUGGGUGAAAGAUUUAUUGUCUAAAGAUCGGCUCGCGUCAGAUUAGGUAGUUGGUGGGGUAACGGCUUACCAAGCCUGUGAUCUGUAACUGGUCUGAGAGGAUGACCAGUCACACUGGAACUGAGACACGGUCCAGACUCCUACGGGAGGCAGCAGUGGGGAAUUUUCCGCAAUGGGCGAAAGCCUGACGGAGCAAUACCGCGUGAGGGAGGACGGCUUUUGGGUUGCAAACCUCUUUUAUCAGGGAAGAAAUUUUGACGGUACCUGACGAAUCAGCAUCGGCUAACUCCGUGCCAGCAGCCGCGGUAAUACGGAGGAUGCAAGCGUUAUCCGGAAUCAUUGGGCGUAAAGCGUCCGCAGGUGGUCGUCCAAGUCUUUUGUCAAAGCGUGCAGCUUAACUGCAUACGGGCGGAGGAAACUGGAAGACUGGAGUGCGAUAGGGGUUACGGGAAUUCCCGGUGUANCGGUGAAAUGCGUANAUAUCGGGAAGAACACCANUGGCGAAAGCGCGUAACUGGNUCUGCACUGACACUGA
rnacentral:rRNA from 1 species